AUGUUGCCAAACAGGCACUGUUCUGUAUCACUGACGCGAUGUCAGCCAACCAGAAAUGUUGUGCAACCGACACUGUCAAGUCGUACCGAUGCGGCGUUAUCCCACCGUUACUGUUUUGUAUCACUGACGCCAUGCCAUCCACCCGAGACAGUGGGUUUCACGGCUAAACAGGUGUUGGAUGAGAUUUCCUCACACGCUCGGGGACACUACUCUGAUUCAGAAGAGGACGUGUCUGAAGAAUCGGACGUGGUGGAGGAACACGAGGGUGACGGUUGUGGCGCAGGAGAAGAGGCUGAGGAUGAGGCUGAGGCUGAAGAAGGAGAAGGAGAAGAAGAAGAACAAGAAGAAGAAGAAGAAGAAGAAGAAGAAGAAGAAGAAACUGAAGAAGAAGAAGAAGAAGAAGAACAAGUAGAAACAUACAUGUCCAAGAACAACACUAUCAAAUGGUCCUCUGUGGCAUUUUACAAAGAUCGCAGGAUAAUAGGGCAACGCGAUGAUGAUGCCGAUGUCGAUGCCGAUGAUGCUGAUGCUGAUGAUGAUGAUGAUGAUGAUGACGACAAUGUCAGAGAUGCGAGGAUAAGAAAGAGAAGAAGGAGGAGAAAAGGGGCAACAACAGCAACAGCAGAAGCAAACCCACCGGGACCCACCGCGUACGCGGUUGCCAAUGCCCACGACAUUGUGUCGACAUUUCUCAUGUUUCUCACUCCGGCGAUAGACAAAAUUGUGCUAGAAAUGACAAAUCUGGAGGGUUUCCGAAAGUACGGAGAAAACUGGAAAGACAUGAGUAGAACCGACUUGCGCGCCUACAUAGGGCUGCUAAUCCUAGCAGGUGUCUACAGGUCCCGAGGCGAGGCCGCAGCCAGUCUAUGGGACGCGGAGAGCGGUAGGGCAAUUUUCCGUGCCACCAUGCCUCUCAAAGUGUUUCACACUUACUCGAGAAUGCUACGCUUUGACGAUCGCGAGUCGAGACCCGAGAGACGCGCCACUGACAAACUGGCAGCCAUAAGAGAGGUGUGGGAUAAAUGGGCCGAGCGGCUUCCGUACCUCUACAACCCAGGGCCUGACAUAACGGUGGAUGAGCAAAUGGUUCCCUUCAGAGGUAGUAGUAGUAGUAGUAGUAAUAGCUGGCAUACAAUAAAUGCUAUUGUUUGCGUGUGUGUGAGUGAAAGAGUGAGUGAGUGA
rnacentral:lncRNA from 1 species